CCUACGGGUGGCAGCAGUGAGGAAUAUUGGUCAAUGGGCGGGAGCCUGAACCAGCCAAGUCGCGUGAGGGAAGACGGUCCUAUGGAUUGUAAACCUCUUUAGGCGGGGAGCAAUGCCGGGCACGCGUGCCCGGAGGGAGAGGACCCGCAGAAGAAGCAUCGGCUAACUCGGUGCCAGCAGCCGCGGUCAUACGGUGGAUGCGCGCGUGAUCGGGAUUUCUUGGGUUUAAAGGGUGCGUAGGCGGAUUUUUAAGUCAGCGGUAAAAUGUCCGGGCUCAACCCGGGCCGGCCGUUGAAACUGGGGAUCUUGAGUGGGCGAGCAGUAUGCGGAAUGCGUGGUGUAGCGGU
rnacentral:rRNA from 1 species